UUAAACUGUGUUCCGAAGAUGAACGGAGGUCUUACGGGUUUGGAACGACAUGAGGCUUAAGACGGUUCAGCUCUCAUCUAAGUGACUUCAUCAGUUGUGGAUUGAUGGUGGAGGUUCUUCUGCAUUUAACCUUGUUGGGCAACACAGAAGCAGCAACACUCUAGAGAGGACAUUGGGAAAAAAAGGAUCACAGAUUCCUCCUCAUGCUGCGUCAUCUGAAUGGUGUUAGUAGCUGGUAUGCAGAGGGAAGCAGUGUGGUAUUCCCCUCACUCAGCAAAAGAGAGGCGGGCAAGGUGAGUCACACCAUAAAGACAGCCUUGUGCAAGUUUUAACUGAGACUGACGCGGAUCUUCUCAUAGCUGUUCUAUUUUCUCAUGAAGCCUUGACCCAUAAAACUAAUGGAUGCCGUUUUCUUUGAAUAUGCAGUAUAACGGUUCAUAUGCUGGGUUAUUACUAGAUUUACGGCUGUUCAUUUCAAAACGUGAAAGCCCCCACUUUUCUUUUGCUGUUUUAAAGACAUUAUUUAUUUGGUUCUUACUGUUUUAUUUUGAAGCAAAGGUCUGCAUGUCUAUAAAAGCUUAAGCCUCCGAGGGGCCUCUCGCUGGUUCCUGGGUAAUGUCCCAGCAGGUUGUUAUCCAAAAAGUGUAGCAACAUGCAGUCUGGAACACUACAGUAUGUGAGUAAAGGUUUGUGCUGAAAGAGAGAAAGUGAAAAAACAGACACAAAUUCAAGCAUGCCUGGAGGGGUGGAUUGCCAGCAGUAUGUUUCAUCAUUCAAAUCAAACUAAGUCAUAUGUUCAUUUAGUGCAUUUGAAGGCUGUACCCAAUGUGGAAUACGAAUUUGCACAAUUGCACAAUCACACAGUCCCAUGCAUGUAGUAUUUGUUUUUUGUUUGGGUUUUUGUUUUGUUUUGUGUUUAUUUUUUCUUAUUUUGUUUGCAAUAUUUUAUUCUUUUUGCCAGUAUAUUAUUUUGUAACUAACUAUUAAACGUUAAAAUAGCUCAGUUUUGAUGUAAUGUACAUCUGAUGGCAUGAGAUGACAGAUGCAAAUAUACAGUUAGCAGUGGACGGAGAGUGGCAUUCAAGUAUGCAUGCAUUUACAAAAAGGCACAUUUACAGUGUUUGUAUAGUACAAUCUUGAGCAUUUGCUUUUGAUUGAUGCUUCACAUUGUUUGAAAUAGGGUUGGUUAUUUCCAAGUACUUCAUGAAACGGUGGACAUCACAAUAAAUCUGUAUGUCAAUGACCCUUGAUUGCUGUUUAUGAUUAUUAAGAUGACUUGCUUUUUCAUUUACUGAAAUGUUGGAAGUGAUAUGAAUGAUCUAAAGCAGUGACUC